UUAGUGAUAAACUGUGAUUUACUCCACUUUUGAAUACGUCAUAUAAGUGGUAUUGGAAAACCCUUUUGAAUUUUGAUGAUUUUUAAACCAAAUACUAAGAAAGUCUAAUUAGCAGGUAUAAAUAAUACACAAAUUUUCCAUAAUUAAAAACUUAAGCACACUAGCAGAUGUUAAUAUGGUUUGGUACUAGGUAAAGAAAUGUUCUAAAACUACCUGUAUAAGAACCUUUAGUAUCACAUAAAUAAGGAUGUGGUAAAGACAGACUUCAUCACUUCCAGUAACCACUUCUUGCAGUCAUCAUCGUCAAAGAUUCAUCAUCAUGUCUUUCUUUAUUGCAAAAUUUCUACAAUUAAAACAACUGACAAAAGAUCAACAGGACCCAAAGCUUCAUAGUAAACAAAACUAUGUAAAUUUUAAAGCAAAUAAUGUUGCGGUUAAAUACAAUAAAGAAAACACUUCACCACCCAUCUCCUUUGGUACUUCGGGUCAAAAGUUUGACACAUUAAAAACAUAUCCAACCAUUCUAACACACAUCGGUGGUGCUGGUAGAGAAUAAAAUUGUGAUCUAUUAACAUAUUUUUUAAAAAAUAUAUUUUUUUAAAUACAUUUAAGUACAAAUUGUGACGAUAUGAAAGCCUAUAAUGCCCUUCUUUAAACUAUUUUCUUUUACUUUUAAUUUUCAUUAGUAUUAUGGAUUUUUUAAUAAAUAAAAAUAUUUACUAAUUUUUUAAUAUACAAA